UGAGAGGGGGAGAUGAGCUAAAUGUUUUUGAUUAAAUAUAACAAGUGCAAAUCAAUAAAGAAAAAUUAAUAAGUUGUGCACUAAUCAAUAAUUUACAUGCCAGCAAUCAUCCACGCCAGCCGCCUGUGUAUGGAGAUGAUGCCUCCCCCGCACGGCAUUGACAUGCAAACCAGAUCCCACUAGAGACAUUGAAGAAGAAUCUAACUGAUGAAUGACGAAUGGAUGCUUAAAGCAAACAACAGGAUGCUGUCGAUACGAAGCUCAGCACUAUUGAACGAGUCAGACACACCCGAAGAAACUCAAGUCGGCACUUCUUAUUUCAGUCGCCUUUGAAGCCAUUCAAAUAUAGAAUCAGUAUGACAGAACUGAAGAUGGAUGACAGGGAUCAUUGUGAGUCUUAGUCAACUAGCUUCAUUAUUUCAGAAUCCUCUGAUGAAAUAAGAGAAGAGAAGAAAAACAACAAAGGAUAGGCAAAGCAAAUGUGAGUCACUCACAAGGUCUCAUCUAACAAGAUUGAAGAAAACGAGCAUUGAAGAUUUGUCACAUCGGUAAAUGUUUUAUAAGUCCAUGUGGAGUAGUUGAAGUGUUGAAUAGGUUUUGAUACUUUUUGAUUAACGGAAUUGUUCUCACUUUAUUGAACUGUUUGAAAAAGAGGCUGCUUUCAGAAAUAGGGUGUAAAAUAAACUUUAUAUAAGUUUAUCUAAACGUUUAACAGAUGGCGAGUGAGGCAAGGUGCUGAUUGGUUGAAAAUGUUUGAACGGUUGAGGUUGGGUUUUACAUUUUUAACUCAAUUGGGUAUUUGUAAUUAUUUUUUCAAAUAAUUAC